rnacentral:lncRNA from 1 species
UCAUCCAUCGGGGAAGUCCGGUUUUAUGGGGAGCCUGGUAGGAGGUCGGUCGGUGAUGGACUUCGGAUAGCGCUGGGGAGGCUCGGCAGACAUCGAAGGCGAUCGGCUAUCGUAGGGACCCAGCUGCUAGAGCUCGUCCGUUAUAGAAGCUCGUCUGGAAUCCAUCCGCUGGAAAAGUUCGGACGGGAUCCUGUUGUCGCGAGAGGUUGAGAGGGGAC